GAUGAACGCUGACAGAAUGCUUAACACAUGCAAGUCGACUUGAAGCAAUUUCGGUUGUGGAAAGUGGCGGACGGGUGAGUAACGCGUAAAGAACUUGCCCUUCAGUCUGGGACAACCAUUGGAAACGAUGGCUAAUACCGGAUAUUAUGGAACUCUCGCAUGGGAGGAUCAUGAAAGCUAUAUGCGCUGAAGGAGAGCUUUGCGUUCCAUUAGCUAGUUGGUGAGGUAACGGCUCACCAAGGCGACGAUGGAUAGCCGGCCUGAGAGGGUGAUCGGCCACAAGGGGACUGAGACACGGCCCUUACUCCUACGGGAGGCAGCAGUGGGGAAUAUUGGACAAUGGACCAAAAGUCUGAUCCAGCAAUUCUGUGUGCACGAUGAGGGUUUUCGGAUCGUAAAGUGCUUUCAGUUGGGAAGAAGAAAGUGACGGUACCAACAGAAGAAGCGACGGCUAAAUACGUGCCAGCAGCCGCGGUAAUACGUAUGUCGCAAGCGUUAUCCGGAUUUAUUGGGCGUAAAGCGCGUCUAGGCGGGUUCAUAAGUCUGAUGUUAAAAUGCGGGGCUCAACUCCGUAUUGCGUUGGAAACUGUGAACCUAGAGUAUCAGAGAGGUGGGCGGAACUACAAGUGUAGAGGUGAAAUUCGUAGAUAUUUGUAGGAAUGCCGAUGGAGAAGUCAGCUCACUGGAUGAAUACUGACGCUAAAGCGCGAAAGCGUGGGUAGCAAACAGG
rnacentral:rRNA from 1 species